rnacentral:rRNA from 1 species
UGGUGGCGACCGGCGCACGGGUGAGUAACGCGUAUGCAACCCACCUAUCAGAGGGGGAUAACCCGGCGAAAGUCGGACUAAUACCGCAUAAAACAGGGGCACCGCAUGGUGCUAUUUGUUAAAAAUUUAUUGCUGAUAGAUGGGCAUGCGUUCCAUUAGGUAGUUGGAGAGGUAACGGCUCACCAAGCCUACGAUGGAUAGGGGAACUGAGAGGUUGGUCCCCCACACUGGUACUGAGACACGGACCAGACUCCUACGGGAGGCAGCAGUGAGGAAUAUUGGUCAAUGGGCGAGAGCCUGAACCAGCCAAGUCGCGUGAAGGAAGAAGGAUCUAUGGUUCGUAAACUUCUUUUGCAGGGGAAUAAAGUGCAGGACGUGUCCUGUUUUGUAUGUACCCUGAGAAUAAGGAUCGGCUAACUCCGUGCCAGCAGCCGCGGUAAUACGGAGGAUCCGAGCGUUAUCCGGAUUUAUUGGGUUUAAAGGGAGCGUAGGCGGAUUGUUAAGUCAGUUGUGAAAGUUUGCGGCUCAACCGUAAAAUUGCAGUUGAUACUGGCAGUCUUGAGUGCAGUAGAGGUGGGCGGAAUUCGUGGUGUAGCGGUGAAAUGCUUAGAUAUCACGAAGAACUCCGAUUG